GGAUUAGAUACCCUGGUAGUCCACGCCGUAAACGAUGGGCACUAGGCAGGGGGAGUUCCGAUGCUCUCCCUGCUGCAGCUAAUGUAUUAAGUGCCCCGCCUGGGGAGUACAGUCGCAAGGCCGAAACUCAAAGGAAUUGACGGGGGCUCACACAAGCGGUGGAGCAUGUGGUUUAAUUCGAAGCAACGCGCAGAACCUUACCUGGGUUUGACAUGCACGGAUUAGCUCCUGGAAACAGGGGUGACGCCCGCAAGGGUGGAACGUGCACAGGUGCUGCAUGGCCGUCGUCAGCUCGUGCCG
rnacentral:rRNA from 1 species